GAUGAACGCUGGCGGCGUGCCUAAUACAUGCAAGUCGAGCGAACAGACGAGGAGCUUGCUCCUCUGAUGUUAGCGGCGGACGGGUGAGUAACACGUGGAUAACCUACCUAUAAGACUGGGAUAACUUCGGGAAACCGGAGCUAAUACCGGAUAACAUGUUGAACCGCAUGGUUCAACAGUGAAAGACGGUCUUGCUGUCACUUAUAGAUGGAUCCGCGCCGCAUUAGCUAGUUGGUAAGGUAACGGCUUACCAAGGCAACGAUGCGUAGCCGACCUGAGAGGGUGAUCGGCCACACUGGAACUGAGACACGGUCCAGACUCCUACGGGAGGCAGCAGUAGGGAAUCUUCCGCAAUGGGCGAAAGCCUGACGGAGCCACGCCGCGUGAGUGAAGAAGGUCUUCGGAUCGUAAAGCUCUGUUAUUAGGGAAGAACAAAUGUGUAAGUAGCUAUGCACGUCUUGACGGUACCUAAUCAGAAAGCCACGGCUAACUACGUG
rnacentral:rRNA from 1 species